rnacentral:rRNA from 1 species
AAAGGAUGUGGAAUUGCACAGACAACCAGGAUGUUGGCUUAGAAGCAGCCACUCAUUUAAAGAGUGCGUAAUAGCUCACUGGUCGAGUGAUUCUGCGCCGAAAAUUUCCGGGGCUAAAACUUACUACCGAAGCUACGGCAUCAUUAUGAUGGGUAGGGGAGCUUUCUAUGCGGCUUGAAGCAUGACCGUAAGGACAUGUGGACUGCAUAGAAGUGAGAAUGUUGGCAUGAGUAGCGAGAUGUGGGUGAGAAUCCCACAGGCCGUAAACCCAAGGUUUCCAGGGGAAGGUUCGUCCGCCCUGGGUUAGUCAGGACCUAAGCCGAGGCCGAAAGGCGUAGGUGAUGGACAACAGGUUGAUAUUCCUGUACCACCAAUAACCGUUUGAGAAAUGGGAUGACACAGUAGGAUAAGCUAACCGCACUGUUGGUUAUGUGCGGGCAAGUAUUGAGGCAGUUCCGAUAGGCAAAUCCGUCGGAAUAAUGCUGGGGUACGAUGCGGAGCGAAAUUUAGUAGCGAAGUAGCUGAUUUCACACUGUCGAGAAAAGUCUCUAUCGAGGUUAAAGGUGCCUGUACCGCAAACCGACACAGGUGGGUGAGGAGAGUAUCCUAAGGCCAGCGAGAGAACUGUUGUUAAGGAACUCGGCAAAAUGACCCCGUAACUUAGGGAGAAGGGGUGCCUUCGAAAGAAGGCCGCAGAGAAUAGGCCCAAGCGACUGUUUACCAAAAACAUAGGUUUCUGCUAAGUCGCAAGACGAUGUAUAGGAGCUGACGCCUGCCCGGUGCUGGAAGGUUAAGGGGAUCUGUUAGAGCAAUCGAAGCAGUGAACUUAAGCCCCAGUAAACGGCGGCCGUAACUAUAACGGUCCUAAGGUAGCGAAAUUCCUUGUCGGGUAAGUUCCGACCCGCACGAAAGGCGUAACGAUUUGGGCACUGUCUCAACAACAGACUCGGUGAAAUUGUAAUACCGGUGAAGAUGCCGGUUACCUGCGACAGGACGGAAAGACCCCAUGGAGCUUUACUGUAGCUUGACAUUGAGUCUCGGUGCUACAUGUACAGGAUAGGUGGGAGACUAUGAAGCAUGGACGUCAGUCUGUGUGGAGUCAUCCUUGGGAUACCACCCUUGUAGUACUGGGAUUCUAACCAGAGGCCAUGAAUCUGGUCUUGGGACACUGUCAGGUGGACAGUUUGACUGGGGCGGUCGCCUCCCAAAAAGUAACGGAGGCGCUCAAAGGUUCUCUCAGUACGGUCGGAAAUCGUACGAAGAGUGUAAAGGCAAAAGAGAGCUUGAUUGCAAGACAUACAGGUCGAGCAAGGACGAAAGUCGGACUUAGUGAUCCGGUGGUUCCGCAUGGAAGGGCCAUCGCUCAACGGAUAAAAGCUACCCUGGGGAUAACAGGCUGAUCUCCCCCAA